rfam:Ixodes scapularis strain Wikel colony gcontig_1108379760980, whole genome shotgun sequence.
GCAGUCGUGGCCGAGUGGUUAAGGUGAUGGGCUAGAAAUCCUUUGGGGUUCUCCCCGCACAGGUUCGAAUCCUGUCGACUGCG